rnacentral:rRNA from 1 species
AACGAACGCUGGCGGCAGGCCUAACACAUGCAAGUCGAGCGCGCCUUCGGGUGAGCGGCGGACGGGUGAGUAACGCGUGGGAAUAUGCCCUUCUCUACGGAAUAGUCCUGGGAAACUGGGGGUAAUACCGUAUACGCCCUUUGGGGGAAAGAUUUAUCGGGGAAGGAUUAGCCCGCGUUGGAUUAGGUAGUUGGUGGGGUAAUGGCCUACCAAGCCGACGAUCCAUAGCUGGUUUGAGAGGAUGAUCAGCCACACUGGGACUGAGACACGGCCCAGACUCCUACGGGAGGCAGCAGAGGGGAUUCUUAGACAAUGGGGGCAACCCUGAUCUAGCCAUGCCGCGUGAGUGAUGAAGGCCUUAGGGUUGUAAAGCUCUUUCAGCUGGGAAGAUAAUGACGGUACCAGCAGAAGAAGCCCCGGCUAACUCCGUG